rnacentral:rRNA from 1 species
UGGGGAAUUUUGGACAAUGGGGGCAACCCUGAUCCAGCCAUGCCGCGUGAGUGAAGAAGGCCUUCGGGUUGUAAAGCUCUUUCGGCCGGGAAGAAAUCGUGUGGGCUAAUACCCUGCAUGGAUGACGGUACCGGAAUAAGAAGCACCGGCUAACUACGUGCCAGCAGCCGCGGUAAUACGUAGGGUGCGAGCGUUAAUCGGAAUUACUGGGCGUAAAGCGUGCGCAGGCGGUUUUUUAAGACAGGCGUGAAAUCCCCGGGCUUAACCUGGGAACUGCGCUUGUGACUGGAAGGCUAGAGUACGGCAGAGGGGGGUGGAAUUCCACGUGUAGCAGUGAAAUGCGUAGAGAUGUGGAGGAACACCGAUGGCGAAGGCAGCCCCCUGGGCCGAUACUGACGCUCAUGCACGAAAGCGUGGGGAGCAAACA